GAUGAAGAACGUAGCGAAAUGCGAUACGUAAUGUGAAUUGCAGAAUUCAGUGAAUCAUCGAGUCUUUGAACGCACAUUGCGCCCCCUGGUAUUCCGGGGGGCAAGCCUGUCCGAGCGUCAUUGCUGCCCUCAAGCCCGGCUUGUGUGUUGGGUCUCGUCCCCCUUCCCGGGGGGACGGGCCCGAAAGGCAGCGGCGGCACCGCGUCCGGUCCUCGAGCGUAUGGGGCUUUGUCACCCGCUCUGUAGGCCCGGCCGGCGCUUGCCGAUCAACCAAAACUUUUUUCCAGGUUGACCUCGGAUCAGGUAGGGAUACCCGCUGAACUUAAGCAUAUCAAUAAGCGGAGGA
rnacentral:misc_RNA from 1 species